UAGACCAUGAAGCCGUGUGAAUGGGCCCAUGCUUUCAGCUGGGCUCAGGAAAGUCCCCGAGCCUUCUCUGCAGAAAUGUAGGCCUGGUAACGGGUAAAUCUUCGAGCUUGGGCUUGCUUCAUACUUCGGUGUGAGGGCUGAGACACGUGUGUGGAGCCGUUGCAAGUCUUGCCGAAGAUAAUUGGCUAAUUGCCUACAGUCAUUCACAUGGUUGUUUGCAACUUACAGAACGGGGCUUAUGUCUUCUUGGUCU
rnacentral:RNase_MRP_RNA from 2 species